rnacentral:lncRNA from 1 species
GGGGGUGAUAUGAAGUAGAGAAGUAAUCCCUUAUCUCUUAUCAAGCCUUUGGUGUUUAUAGGCAAAGGGCACCGUUGGAUGUGGGACACGUAUAUGCAUCUGACGGUAUGAGGUCAUUAGUCGUAUCCUAAGGGGGUAGGUAAUUAAUUCUUCUGACAUGUGAGUUAACAUAAGACUGCGAUGUUGCAUCAAUCAAUUCAUAUAGAUAAGGGAAUCCUGACACAAGGAUACAUCUCUGAAACUGGUGGCAGAGGGGCCUCUGCACUCCUUCACCGUGUGAUGCCUCUUCUCCUCACAAUUCGAUGUCAAAGGAUGCCUCAGAUAGUAUCACUUAGUUAACCUGUGCCUCAUAAGCACGUGGUUAGUUCAGGCGUAAUACUGGUCUCCCCAAGUUCGAGUUGUGGCUGCUGUUCUAAGGCUCAAAAGCUUCACAUCUUUGACCGAGGCAAUGCUUCAACCACAUGGGACUACGCGUCAGGAAGGUUGAAGCUCGUAAAGCUGAGGAGCACAUCUUCGACCGAGGGGUGUCACCGCAGGGACGACACUGUAAAGCUUUUGCAAUGCUUCGACUGAGGCGUUGACCCACAGGGGGACGAUGCCUAGGAGAUGACUUGAAGCUUUUGCAGCGCUUCGACUGUGGCGUUGACCCAUAGGGGAUUACGCAUUAGGAGGAUUGAAACUCUGUAAAGCUGGGUUAUGAUCCAAAACGUGUAGCAUGGAGUCUUAAAUGAUGUCUCGUGAGGAAGAUGGUUGAUCCACAUGAGAAUACUCUUCAACCGAAGUGCUGACCCAUAUGGGGAUGACACCUAGGAGAUGGCCUGAAGCUUUCGUAAUGCUUUGACCGAGGCCCUGACCCACAUGGGACUACGCAUCAGGAGAGUUGAAGCUCUGUAAAGUUGAGGAGCACAUCUUCGAUCGAGGACCUCUGUAACUCUAUGAAUAAAUCUGCCUCGCAACUAAUUGGAUUAAUUUCUAACAUAAGCGUUGGAGGCCUACUAUUUGAAGCAUCUUUGUAUGGCAAGAUUGGUA